GCUGGGUUCCAUCUAGCCAGCCAUCCACACAAAAGCGUCACAGCUGUGUGCACUAACUCAGGUGGCAGACACAGGAAGUGGCCACUAUAAUUCCAUUUGGGAAGGCGUAAAGCACAGGAGGAGGACAGGUCACUGUGGGGACCAGGGAGGGCUCCCCCGGGAGGAUCAUCCACGCUGAGGCCAGAGGGCUUGGGAAAUGUGAGCCGGACACACGCAACAGCCAAGCUCACACUACAAAUGGCCGGCAGAAAAUCACAAUGGCUGACAGCCUUCAUGGAAACUCAGAGAGAUCAAGCCCCAAGUUACAAUGCACGUGGGAAAAACCGGAGGGGCCAGAGGCACUGCUUCAAAGACCAAAAGUCAAAGUAAACCGAAUCACCGACCUCACUGCAAAAUCAGUGUCCCAGAUGACCUCUGCAUCUAAAAAGACAGAAGACCAGCCACGCUUUCACAAGAAGAAUACUUCAUCUUUGCACACUCUAUCUUCUGUGUAUGUGACAUUGUACUGGACGCAGGCGUGGGAGAGCUUCAUCAUUUGAGUUAAAUCACAGUUAAAUCACAGUCAAACCUUUUGGAGAACAAUACUUUUGUAAGGUAUGACAUUCAGCACUAUAAAUGGGCAAAAUUUAUUUCA
rnacentral:lncRNA from 1 species